GCCUCAGUAACGGCGAGUGAAGCGGCAAUAGCUCAAAUUUGAAAUCAGGCACCCGCCCGAAUUGUAAUUUGUAGAGGAUGCUUCGGCCUACGUCUCGGUCUAAGUUCCUUGGAACAGGACGUCACAGAGGGUGAGAAUCCCGUUUGUGGCCGUGACUUCCGCCAUGUGAAGCUCCUUCGACGAGUCGAGUUGUUUGGGAAUGCAGCUCUAAAUGGGAGGUAUGUUUCUUCUAAAGCUAAAUACCGGCCAGAGACCGAUAGCGCACAAGUAGAGUGAUCGAAAGAUGAAAAGCACUUUGGAAAGAGAGUCAAACAGUACGUGAAAUUGUUGAAAGGGAAGCGCUUGCAACCAGACUUGCUCGUAGUUGCUCAACCGGUCCUCCGGCCGGUGCACUCUUCUACGGUCAGGCCAGCAUCAGUUCGGGUGGUUGGAUAAAGGCCUUGAGAAUGUGGCUCUCUUCGGGGAGUGUUAUAGCUCUUGGUGCAAUACAGCCCGCCUGGACUGAGGUCCGCGCUUCGGCUAGGAUGCUGGCGUAAUGGUUGUAAGCGGCCCGUCUUGAAACACGGACC
rnacentral:rRNA from 1 species